CGUAGGUAACCUGCCUGGUAGCGGGGGAUAACUAUUGGAAACGAUAGCUAAUACCGCAUAAUAUCUUUGAUUGCAUGAUUGAAGUUUGAAAGAUGCAACUGCAUCACUACCAGAUGGACCUGCGUUGUAUUAGCUAGUAGGUGAGGUAAAGGCUCACCUAGGCGACGAUACAUAGCCGACCUGAGAGGGUGAACGGCCACACUGGGACUGAGACACGGCCCAGACUCCUACGGGAGGCAGCAGUAGGGAAUCUUCGGCAAUGGGGGCAACCCUGACCGAGCAACGCCGCGUGAGUGAAGAAGGUUUUCGGAUCGUAAAGCUCUGUUGUAAGAGAAGAACGUGUGUGAGAGUGGAAAGUUCACACAGUGACGGUAACUUACCAGAAAGGGACGGCUAACUACGUGCCAGCAGCCGCGGUAAUACGUAGGUCCCGAGCGUUAUCCGGAUUUAUUGGGCGUAAAGCGAGCGCAGGCGGUUGGAUAAGUCUGAAGUUAAAGGCUGUGG
rnacentral:rRNA from 1 species